CGCGUAGGUGGUAGUGUAAGUCUGGGGUGGAAUCCCAGGGCUUAACCCUGGAACUGCCUUGGAAACUGUAUUACUUGAGUCAGUGAGGGGAGGGUAGAAUUCCUGGUGUAGCGGUGAAAUGCGUAGAUAUCAGGAGGAAGGCCCGUGGCGAAGGCGGCCCUCUGGCGCUGGACUGACACUGAGGCGCAAAAGCGUGGGGAGCAAACAGGAUUAGAUACCCUGGUAGUCCACGCCCUAAACGGUGGGCACUAGGUGUAGGGCUCGUAAGGGUUCUGUGCCGAAGGGAAACCAUUAAGUGCCCCGCCUGGGGAGUACGGCCGCAAGGUUGAA
rnacentral:rRNA from 1 species